AACGAACGCUGGCGGCAUGCCUAACACAUGCAAGUCGAACGAGACCUUCGGGUCUAGUGGCGCACGGGUGCGUAACGCGUGGGAACCUGCCCUUAGGUUCGGAAUACCUCCCCGAAAGGGGUGCUAAUACCGGAUAAUGUCUUCGGACCAAAGAUUUAUCGCCUUUGGAUGGGCCCGCGUUGGAUUAGCUAGUUGGUAGGGUAAAAGCCUACCAAGGCGACGAUCCAUAGCUGGUCUGAGAGGAUGAUCAGCCACACUGGGACUGAGACACGGCCCAGACUCCUACGGGAGGAAGCAGUGGGGAAUAUUGGACAAUGGGCGAAAGCCUGAUCCAGCAAUGCCGCGUGAGUGAUGAAGGCCUUAGGGUUGUAAAGCUCUUUUACCCGGGAUGAUAAUGACAGUACCGGGAGAAUAAGCUCCGGCUAACUCCGUG
rnacentral:rRNA from 1 species